rnacentral:misc_RNA from 1 species
GUGCGCCAUUGACAACAUCCAGCCCUCCUCAUGGAGCCUCUAGCGAAUCAUCUGACGAAAAUGGUAGUAGCCCACUUAAUCGAGAUCCUGGAAUCUAUAGUAAUGCAAGUCAACCCAUUCCUAAUAUGAAUUUUUACCAACUAUGGGCUACCCAAAAUCCACAUUGAAGAGCUUGAGGCAUUGACAUGGCAAUUGUACUUGCAUAGCAGAUUUGAGGUCAAAUCCUAAUGCUAACAUGCAUUGUUGAAUACAGGCUGCAGAUGAGCUUUUCAUAUUAUUUCCUUCAAGAGCAGGUUCCUCCUUCUGGAGUAGCUUUAGUUAUCUUUCUCAUAUGAUUUGGACACAUCUAUUAGUGGUAGCUGCAUGUCACCCCUUCUAAGUUUGGCUUAGUUCAAUUUACUAUUUAGGUAUAAUUGUUUUAGUUUUGUGUUUCCUGUUUCUAGCUUCUGCUAUAUUCAUUCAUAACCUCUUAAAAGAGUGUAUAUUACUUGCAGAAACUAGAAACAGGAAACACAAAACUAAAACA